UGGCGCAGUUGGUAGAGCAUGGUGUUUGCAACGCCAGCGUUGUGGGUUUGAUUCCCAC
rnacentral:tRNA from 1 species